AUCCCCAGGCGCUUUUUAUAUUUUAUUUAGAGACAGGCAUCUGGCUGAGUUGCUGAGGGCCUCGCUAAUCUUGCUGAGGCUGGCUUUGAAUUCACCAUCCUCCGGCCUCAGCCUCCCGGGUCGCUGGGAUGGCAGGCGUGCGCCAUCGCACCCACAGGCUGGAAUGUUUGCACUUUUUUAAAGGAAGUCUCAAGAAAAGAGGCUGUCAUGGGGAAGUGUUUCAGACCCUGGAAGAACAGUUGCUCUAGGAAAAGGUCCUUCGAUUCUGGUCCUGCAUCACAGGGGCUUCAGGCAUGGCUAUCACCAGCCUCUGGCAAAGGGUGCCUGGGGGGCAGGCUCUGCGGCAAUGAGUGACAAGACUUUGGAGGAAAGAUUAGUCUAGAAAGCUAGGAGCACCUGGCUCCCCCUCCCAUCAGACACCACAGCCCCCCCCCCCCCCUGACAUGACCCCUGUGGAAACCCACUGCCCUUCAGAUGACCUUGCCUGCUGGGGCUCUGGGAAACUCAGGUCUGGAUUAUCCUUCGGGUGCUUGGGGGGACAGGUUGUUCCAACAUGCCGAGGUCCAUCUGAACUGAGUCACCCCAAGCCAGUCCUGUGAGCACGGAGGAAGCCUCCUGACAAGUAUAAUUUGACACCCCCAAAAAGUCCAGCCCAGUUAGACCCGUUCUGGUCCA
rnacentral:lncRNA from 1 species